rnacentral:rRNA from 1 species
AGAGUUUGAUUAUGGCUCAGGACGAACGCUGGCGGCGUGCUUAACACAUGCAAGUCGAACGGAAAGGCCCUGCUUUUGUGGGGUGCUCGAGUGGCGAACGGGUGAGUAACACGUGAGUAACCUGCCCUUGACUUUGGGAUAACUUCAGGAAACUGGGGCUAAUACCGGAUAGGAGCUCCUGCUGCAUGGUGGGGGUUGGAAAGUUUCGGCGGUUGGGGAUGGACUCGCGGCUUAUCAGCUUGUUGGUGGGGUAGUGGCUUACCAAGGCUUUGACGGGUAGCCGGCCUGAGAGGGUGACCGGCCACAUUGGGACUGAGAUACGGCCCAGACUCCUACGGGAGGCAGCAGUGGGGAAUAUUGCACAAUGGGCGGAAGCCUGAUGCAGCAACGCCGCGUGCGGGAUGACGGCCUUCGGGUUGUAAACCGCUUUCGCCUGUGACGAAGCGUGAGUGACGGUAAUGGGUAAAGAAGCACCGGCUAACUACGUGCCAGCAGCCGCGGUGAUACGUAGGGUGCGAGCGUUGUCCGGAUUUAUUGGGCGUAAAGGGCUCGUAGGUGGUUGAUCGCGUCGGAAGUGUAAUCUUGGGGCUUAACCCUGAGCGUGCUUUCGAUACGGGUUGACUUGAGGAAGGUAGGGGAGAAUGGAAUUCCUGGUGGAGCGGUGGAAUGCGCAGAUAUCAGGAGGAACACCAGUGGCGAAGGCGGUUCUCUGGGCCUUUCCUGACGCUGAGGAGCGAAAGCGUGGGGAGCGAACAGGCUUAGAUACCCUGGUAGUCCACGCUGUAAACGGUGGGUACUAGGUGUGGGGUCCAUUCCACGGGUUCCGUGCCGUAGCUAACGCUUUAAGUACCCCGCCUGGGGAGUACGGCCGCAAGGCUAAAACUCAAAUGAAUUGACGGGG